rnacentral:rRNA from 1 species
AGAGUUUGAUCCUGGCUCAGAUUGAACGCUGGCGGCACGCCUAACACAUGCAAGUCGAGCGGCAGCAUGCUUAGUAGCAAUACUAAGUGAUGGCGAGCGGCGGACGGGUGAGGAACACGUAGGAACCUGCCCAAGAGAGGGGGAUAACUAAGGGAAACUUUAGCUAAUACCGCAUAAUCUCGAGAGAGAAAAGUUGCCCGUAAGGGUAGCGCUUUUGGAGGGGCCUGCGUCCGAUUAGCUAGUUGGUGAGGUAAUAGCUCACCAAGGCGAUGAUCGGUAACUGGUCUGAGAGGACGACCAGUCACACUGGGACUGAGACACGGCCCAGACUCCUACGGGAGGCAGCAGUGGGGAAUCUUGGACAAUGGGGGCAACCCUGAUCCAGCGAUGCCGCGUGGGUGAAGAAGGC